rnacentral:rRNA from 1 species
UACGUAGGGGGCUAGCGUUGUCCGGAAUCAUUGGGCGUAAAGCGCGCGUAGGCGGCCCGGUAAGUCCGCUGUGAAAGUCAAAGGCUCAACCUUUGAAUGUCAGCGGAUACUGCCGGGCUAGAGUCCGGAAGAGGCGAGUGGAACUCCUGGUGUAGCGGUGGAAUGCGCAGAUAUCAGGAAGAACACCAACGGCGAAGGCAGCUCGCUGGGACGGAACUGACGCUGAGGCGCGAAAGCUAGGGGAGCAAACAGG